rnacentral:rRNA from 1 species
GUCCACGCCCUAAACGAUGGAUGCUAAACAUUGGGAGUUUCGACCCUCCCAGUGUUGUUCACUAAAGCUAACGCCUUAAGCAUCCCGCCUGGGGAGUACGAGCGCAAGCUUAAAACUCAAAGGAAUAGACGGGGACCCGCACAAGCGGUGGAGCGUGCGGUUUAAUUCGAUAAUAAGCGAAGAACCUUACCAAGGCUUGACAUCUAGCUGCAGAACCCUGGAAACAGGGUAGCCUUCGAGGGUGCUAGACAGAUGCUGCAUGGUUGUCGU